AUUGAACGCUGGCGGCAGGCUUAACACAUGCAAGUCGAGCGGGGGAAGGUAGCUUGCUACCGGACCUAGCGGCGGACGGGUGAGUAAUGCUUAGGAAUCUGCCUAUUAGUGGGGGACAACAUCUCGAAAGGGAUGCUAAUACCGCAUACGUCCCACGGGAGAAAGCAGGGGAACUUCGGACCUUGCGCUAAUAGACGAGCCUAAGUCGGAUUAGCUAGUUGGUGGGGUAAAGGCCUACCAAGGCGACGAUCUGUAGCGGGUCUGAGAGGAUGAUCCGCCACACUGGGACUGAGACACGGCCCAGACUCCUACGGGAGGCAGCAGUGGGGAAUAUUGGACAAUGGGGGGAACCCUGAUCCAGCCAUGCCGCGUGUGUGAAGAAGGCCUUAUGGUUGUAAAGCACUUUAAGCGAGGAGGAGGCUACUUUAGUUAAUACCUAGAGAUAGUGGACGUUACUCGCAGAAUAAGCACCGGCUAACUCUGUGCCAGCCGCCGCGGUAA
rnacentral:rRNA from 1 species